GAUGAACGCUAGCGGAGGCUUAACACAUGCAAGUCGAGGGGCAGCAUAAGGUAGCAAUACUUUGAUGGCGACCGGCGCACGGGUGAGUAACGCGUAUGUAACCUGUCCUUAACAGGAGGAUAACCCGGAGAAAUUCGGACUAAUACUGCAUAAAAUUAUAAAUAGGCAUCUAUUAAUAAUUAAAGCUACGGCGGUUAGGGAGGGGCAUGCGUAACAUUAGCUGGUUGGUAGGGUAACGGCCUACCAAGGCAAUGAUGUUUAGGGGACCUGAGAGGGUGACCCCCCACACUGGUACUGAGACACGGACCAGACUCCUACGGGAGGCAGCAGUGAGGAAUAUUGGUCAAUGGGCGGCAGCCUGAACCAGCCAUCCCGCGUGAAGGAAGAAUGCGCUAUGCGUUGUAAACUUCUUUUUCAGGGGGAUAAAAUUCUGUAUGUAUACAGGACUGAAGGUACCCUGAGAAUAAGCAUCGGCUAACUCCGUG
rnacentral:rRNA from 1 species